CAAGUACUCCCUCUGUCCAGAAUUACUUGUCAUCAAAAUGGAUGUGUCUAGAACUAAAAUACAUCUAGAUACAUCCAUUUCAAUGACAAGUAUUUUUGGACGGAGGGAGUACAAG
rnacentral:pre_miRNA from 1 species